CUGAUACAAUGAUGAUAGCAUAGUUCAGCAGAUUAAACAAUGACGAUUAUACGCGCUGUCUUUCGCUCCUAUAUCUGAUGUGUCGC